GAUGAACGCUGGCGGCGUGCCUAAUACAUGCAAGUAGAACGCUGAAGGAGGAGCUUGCUCUUCUGGAUGAGUUGCGAACGGGUGAGUAACGCGUAGGUAACCUGCCUGGUAGCGGGGGAUAACUAUUGGAAACGAUAGCUAAUACCGCAUGACAACAGUUAUUGCAUGAUAACUGUAUAAAAGGGGCAACUGCUCCACUACCAGAUGGACCUGCGUUGUAUUAGCUAGUUGGUGAGGUAACGGCUCACCAAGGCGACGAUACAUAGCCGACCUGGGAGGGUGAUCGGCCACACUGGGACUGGGACACGGCCCAGACUCCUACGGGAGGCAGCAGUAGGGAAUCUUCGGCAAUGGACGGAAGGCUGACCGGGCAACGCCGCGUGAGUGAAGAAGGUUUUCGGAUCGUAAAGCUCUGUUGCAAGAGAAGAACGAGUGUGAGAGUGGAAAGUUCACACUGUGACGGUAUCUUACCAGAAAGGGACGGCUAACUACGUG
rnacentral:rRNA from 1 species